GACAGAGACUCUCUGAGUUCAAAGUCAGUCUGGUCUACACAGAUGGAGUUCCAGGACAGCCAAGCUUAAGCAAUGAAGGAAACCAUCAAAACCAGAAAGCUAGCAGAGAUGUAGUUGAACAAGGGGGCAGCAAGUUCCAGCCCCAGCAAACAGCAGAGCUAGGCAGCCCUGGCCAUGUGUUUCUGGCUUUAGAGUCAAGGAUAGGAGAAAGGGGUGAUGAAAUCUCCCUCCGUGAUUAAGGAAAGCCACUGAGGCCAGGCACGUGUGAGGAGUGUCCUUGCAUGGAGGCCUAGAGAGGCCAUUGUGUGAAGCCUAGGUUGUCCCGGAGACCCCAAGAUGUUAGAGAUGCCAGAGUUGUGGAAUACCUGCUAAAGAAAGCUGCUAAUGGGGAAUGGAACCAGCCCAAGAGAAAGAAGUAGGUUGCAGUCAACAAAGCUGAAAGGAGUUGGAGAUCUGAAGCACGUUUUGACAUCAGAUCUAGAGAUGCAGAGUUUGGAGUUUAACCGGCUGCUUUUCCAUCUUGCUUUGCUUCAGCACUUCCUCAUUAUGUUCUCUUUCCUCUAUUUUGGAAUGGUAAUGUAUACCCUGCGUCAUCAUAUCUUGAAUAUGAUAUAUAUGUGAUCUGGUUUUUUAUUUUGAUUUUAUAGGGGACUACAGUUAAGAGAUUACAUGAGUCUCAGAAGAGACAACUGUGAACUUUUAAACAGGAUCGAGGCUUUGAUAGACUAUGGGAACUUCUAAAGUUGGACUAAUGAUAUGGCUACAAGAUUAUGGGGACUACAGAUAGGAAUGUGUUGGUUUGAAAGAAAAUGGACCCAAGAGGCCCAUAAGGAGUGGUGCUACUAGAAAAUGUGGCCUUGGCUGGGUGAAGCAUUGAGCUGAAGCAGGAAAUAGAAGGUGGGACACUGGCUGGAAGAGAGAGGAUUCUGAGAAAUGGUAAGGGGUGAAGGAGAGACUCAGGGAGAGCCAUGAGAGAUGAGACG
rnacentral:lncRNA from 1 species